UCAGGAUGAACGCUGGCGGCGUGCCUAAUACAUGCAGGUCGAACGCAAUUUCGGAUUAGAGUGGCGAACGGUGAGUAACACGUAGGUAACCUGCCCAUAAGACGAGGAUAACUACUGGAAACGGUAGCUAAUACUGGAUAGUAUAUAGAAUCGCAUGAUUUUUAUAUUUAAAGGUGCUGCAAGGCACUACUUAUGGAUGGACCUGCGGCGCAUUAGCUAGUGGUGAGGUAACGGCCCACCAAGGCGACGAUGCGUAGCCGGACUGAGAGGUUGAACGGCCACAUUGGGACUGAGACACGGCCCAGACUCCUACGGGAGGCAGCAGUAGGGAAUUUUCGGCAAUGGACGCAAGUCUGACCGAGCAACGCCGCGUGAGUGAUGAAGUUCUUCGGAACGUAAAAUUCUUUUAUUUGGAAAAAACGUAUAGUGUAGGAAAUGACAUUAUAGUGAUGGUACCAAAUGAAUAAGCCCCGGCUAACUAUGUGCCAGCCGCCGC
rnacentral:rRNA from 1 species